rnacentral:rRNA from 1 species
UUUGGAGUUGGGAUUGGCAAAUCCGUUCCAACAAUUCUGAGGCGUGAUGGGGAAGGUUCUACGGAACCGAAGUAUCUGAUUCCAUGCUUCCAAGAAAAGCAUCUAGAGAGAGAAGUAGUGCCCGUACCGCAAACCGACACAGGUAGGUGAGGAGAGAAUCCUAAGGCCGACGGAAGAAUUGCAGUUAAGGAACUAGGCAAAUUGACCCCGUAACUUCGGGAGAAGGGGUGCCUGAGAAAUCAGGCCGCAGAGAAUAGGCACAAGCAACUGUUUAACAAAAACACAGGUCUCUGCUAAAGCGAAAGCUGAUGUAUAGGGGCUGACGCCUGCCCGGUGCUGGAAGGUUAAGGGGAACACUUAGUGGUAACGCGAAGGUGUGAGCUUAAGCCCCAGUAAACGGCGGCCGUAACAAUAACGGUCCUAAGGUAGCGAAAUUCCUUGUCAGGUAAGUUCUGACCCGCACGAAUGGCGUAAUGACUUGUGCACUGUCUCAACUGCAAAUCCGGCGAAGUUGUAGUGCGAGUGAAGAUGCUCGCUACCCGCGAUUGGACGGAAAGACCCCGUAGAGCUUUACUGUAGCUUAGCAUUGAAUUUCGGUAUUGUCUGUACAGGAUAGGUGGGAGACUGGGAAACUAGGGCGUCAGCCUUGGUGGAGUCGUUGUUGGGAUACCACCCUGAUAGUAUUGAAGUUCUAACUGGAUGCCAUGAAACUGGUGACAGGACAUUGUUAGGUGGGCAGUUUGACUGGGGCGGUCGCCUCCUAAAAUGUAACGGAGGCGCCCAAAGGUUCCCUCAGAACGGUCGGAAAUCGUUCGAAGAGUGUAAAGGCAGAAGGGAGCCUGACUGCGACACCUACAAGUGGAGCAGGGACGAAAGUCGGGCUUAGUGAUCCGGUGGUACCUCGUGGGAGGGCCAUCGCUCAACGGAUAAAAGCUACCUCGGGGAUAACAGGCUGAUCUCCCCCAAGAGUUCACAUCGACGGGGAGGUUUGGCACCUCGAUGUCGGCUCGUCGCAUCCUGGGGCUGAAGUAGGUCCCAAGGGUUGGGCUGUUCGCCCAUUAAAGCGGCACGCGAGCUGGGUUCAGAACGUCGUGAGACAGUUCGGUCCCUAUCCGUCGCGGGCGUAGGAAAUUUGAGAGGAGCUGUCCUUAGUACGAGAGGACCGGGAUGGACUGACCUAUGGUGUACCAGUUGUUUCGCCAGAAGCAUAGCUGGGUAGCUAAGUCGGGAAGGGAUAAACGCUGAAAGCAUCUAAGUGUGAAGCCCACCUCAAGAUGAGAUUUCCCAUAGCAUAAGCUAGUAAGACCCCUUGAAGACUACAAGGUUGAUAGGUCAGAGGUGUAAGUGCGGCAACGUAUUUAGCUGACUGAUACUAAUAGGUCGAGGGCUUGACCA